UUUCCUACGGGACGCAGCAGUGGGGAAUAUUGGACAAUGGGGGGAACCCUGAUCCAGCGACGCCGCGUGAGUGAAGAAGUAUUUCGGUAUGUAAAGCUCUAUCAGCAGGGAAGAAAGAAAUGACGGUACCUGAAUAAGAAGCCCCGGCUAACUACGUGCCAGCAGCCGCGGUAAUACGUAGGGGGCAAGCGUUAUCCGGAUUUACUGGGUGUAAAGGGAGCGUAGACGGCGGUGCAAGGCUGGAGUGAAAGGCAGGGGCCCAACCCCUGGCCUGCUCUGGAAACUG
rnacentral:rRNA from 1 species